rnacentral:rRNA from 1 species
AUACGUAGGGGGCAAGCGUUACCCGGAUUUACUGGGCGUAAAGGGGGCGUAGGCGGCCUGGUGUGUCGGAUGUGAAAUCCCACGGCUCAACCGUGGGGCUGCAUCCGAAACUACCAGGCUUGGGGGCGGUAGAGGGAGACGGAACUGCCGGUGUAGGGGUGAAAUCCGUAGAUAUCGGCAGGAACGCCGGUGGGGAAGCCGGUCUCCUGGGCCGACCCCGACGCUGAGGCCCGAAAGCCAGGGGAGCAAACCGGAUUAGAUACCCGGGUAGUCCUGGCUGUAAACGAUGCCCACUAGGUGUGGGGGGAUAAUCCCUCCGUGCUGAAGCUAACGCGUUAAGUGGGCCGCCUGGGGAGUACGCCCGCAAGGGUGAA